rnacentral:misc_RNA from 2 species
AACGCACCUUGCGCUCCUUGGUAUUCCGAGGAGCAUGCCUGUUUGAGUGUCAUUAAAUUCUCAACCUCACCAACUUUGUUGUGUGCAGGCUUGGAUGUGGGGGUUGCAGGUCCACUCUCGUGGUCUGCUCCUCUGAAAUGUAUUAGUGGGUUGUGCCCCUAAUCUAUUGGUGUGAUAAUUAUCUACGCCGUGGAUUGGGUUGGUUACUUGAAGACCUGCUUCUAACCGUCCCUUGGACAACUUUUGACAAUUUUGACCUCAAAUCAGGCAAGACUACCCGCUGAACUUAA